UUAUGAUCAUAUCACGUUGCAACACCGGUUCCCAUACGAUCAACGAAGUUAAGCAACCUUAAGCCGAGUCAGUAGCUUGAUGGGUUACCACUUGCAAACACCAGGUGCUGUAAG